rnacentral:snoRNA from 3 species
UUGGCCCUGAAUCAAGGCCGGCAGCUUCUUAAUGCUGUUGGUUUCAAGCAGAAGUCUAAAGAGAUGUCAUUCUAUGGUCUGUGGACCAUUUCAGAACUUGGGCAGUGAAAUGGUCAAUUCAUUAGAAAGAAACGGCU